rnacentral:misc_RNA from 1 species
AACCUAGCACACCUGCGGUGUGUACCUGCGGAAGGAUCAUUACCUAUUUGGCCUUUGUGGCUACGCUCGGGGGGCCUUUGGUCCCCGUCUGCACCCUUGUCUUUGCGCACUCAUGUUUCCUCGGUGGGCUUGCCUGCCGCUAGGACAACCUAAACUCUUGAAUUUUCAAUCAGCGUCUGAUAACAAUAAUAUUUACAACUUUUAACAAUGGAUCU